CCUCCGUGUGGCAGCAGUGAGGAAUAUUGGUCACUUGGCUUACGCCUGAACCAGCCACGUCGCGUGAGGGAGUCCGGCCCUACGGGUUGUAACCCUCUUUUGCCGGGGAGCCACGGGCGUCCCGUGUGUCGCCACUGAGAGUACCCGGAGAAAAAGCAUCGGCUAACUCCGUGCCAGCAGCCUUGGUAAUACGGAGGAUGCGAGCGUUAUCCGGAUUUCUUGGGUUUAAGGGUUGCGUAGGGGGACUGUUAAGUCAGUGGUAAAAGUGAGGGGCUCAACCCCUUCCCGCCAUUGAAACUGGUGUUCUGGAGUGGAAGAGAAGUAUGCGGAAUGCGUGGUGUAGCGGUGAAAUGCAUAGAUAUCACGCAGAACCCCGAUUGCGAAGGCAGCAUGCCGGCGUCCGACUGACGCUGAAGCACGAAAGCGUGGGGAUCGAACAGGAUUAGAUACCCGAGUAGUC
rnacentral:rRNA from 1 species